UACAGAGGGGGCAAGCGUUGUCCGGAUUUACUGGGCGUACAGCGCGCGCAGGCGGUUGCGUAUGUGAGCGGUGACAUCCGCGGGCUCAACCCGCGGCGGCCCGCUUACACAGCGCGACUGGAGGCAGGGAGAGGGAUGUGGAAUACCCGGUGGAGCGGUGAAAUGCAUAGAGAUCGGGUGGAACACCAGCGGCGAAGGCGGCAUCCUGGCCCUGUACUGACGCUGAGGCGCGAUAGCGUGGGGAGCAAACGGG
rnacentral:rRNA from 1 species